rnacentral:lncRNA from 1 species
UGGUAGAUAAGGGCAAUAUUUUUAUUAAAAAACAAAACAAAACAGAAUAAGAAACAAGAAGCAGAACAGGUUCAAAGCCCAAAGGACUCCUUAAGAAGUUAGGUAUGUUCAGGCAGAAACCAGGCUGUCAUUUGUUGUGACUGUUAAGGACUAUUAAUAUUUAUAUAUCAGAGAAGUGCUGAAUUCAAAGUUACAUCAAGCUUCUUCUAACAUUCCACUUAUCAGAAAAUAGAGGGAAAGAAAGAAGUGAAGUAAGUUGGAAAAAAUGCAUGACAAAAAAGGAUAAAGAGUACUUUCAAACUUGAAAUACUUCAUUGUGUAUCCUCUGAAGCUCUAUAUGUGCCCCUAGAGGAUCCAGACAUCUCUUUGAUAAGCCAGAGAUAGGGCCAUAUCCAAAGCCUUUAUGAACAUUAUGCUGUAAUCUCCCUCGUCUGCCGCUUCAGCUAAGAAAAACAGCUCAAGCGUCUAUUUGGAAAUAAAGAAACUUUGAAGCUUUACCCUGGAUUGAUUAUCCUGUGUUUUGAGAAACAGAACCUUUGCUAAGGAAUCCUUCAUAAUCUACCUAGAAAUACGUCUGGUUGUCCAGACAUGUAAACUGAAGUUUAGGAAUAUCUCAAAAGAAAAUACAGUAUUCAUAAUAUUUUUUUGGUUUUGUGUUUUUUUUUUUUAAGAAAUAAAAUGUUUGUUUCCCCCCCACCUCUAAAAGAAAGAGAGAGAGAAAGAUUAUUUUUAAAUACUGUCAUGACAGUUAGCACAUGGACAUUUUUUGCUUCAUGGAUUUAUUACCUGCCCAUUCUGCUUGAACUCCUCUUCACACCACUCAUGUAAGGUGAUACAGCUAUAACCAGGAGGUGGAGAUGACGGAGCAUGCCCUUUGACCUCCUUGCCUCCCUGUUUCUUUAUAAGUAAAGUCAGGGAGUUGAAAUAGACAGCAGCAAUGUUUCUUUCCAGCUUUUCAGACUUCAAAGAAUCCAGGGAGAGCCACUUUCUUAAAAGCUAGCAUAAAUUUAAAGCUCUUAGGGUUGGUAAUAUGGCUUAGAAAAAAAGUGAAGGUGGAAAUCACCUUUGAAAGAUGGUUUAAAGGGAAUUUUUCCUAUCCUAAAGCACAGUAACAUCAAUCAGGAUAUUGGGAAAGGCAAUAGGAUGGAGGGAUAGAAUCGUAUCUUGUAUGCUUUGUGACAAGACAUGAGUGUAGUUUAUGGCUGGAAAAUGGAAACAGAAUUUCCAUUCUAUACUAAAUCCAGCCAGAGAAUGCUAUUCCAAAGGAAAAAAAAAAAAAAAAA